CCUACAUCCAUAUAAGAGUGCAUAAGGCGUGUAAAGAGAGGAAGACUUUGCGUGUUCGUUGUUGCUCGUGGUUCAGUCUUGUUCAUAUCAAUUGCUCUCAAAUUAGUAUUGUUAGUGUCAUAUUAUACAUCAACUUACAUCAAACUCUUGGUCUCCCCUCUAUUUUAUUUUGGAUUAAUAAGAGUUGGUGAGAGUUUUUCUCUCCCUUUGUGAGAGCUAUUUCAUUUUCCUUCUUUUCAGAUCCAGCUUGUUUUCAUUCUGUUUGUCGUUUUGAGAGUCGGUGGCCUGGGCAUCAAGCUUCCACAUCAGGCUUCCAUCCCUAUCUUUUCUAUUAUGUUUUCUUAUUUUCUUUAGUUUGUUUAUUUUCUUUUCAAACCGCAAUCUCAACUUUCAAGCUCCGUUCUUUCAAUCCCAUCCUUUCCAUAUUCCCAUCAACUUUUUGCAUCUACUUCAUUUUCUCCCAUUUUCUUCCCCACAACCCUCCCUUUCUCUUAAUCAAACAUUAGAUUUUGCAUUAUUGGAUCCGAUUUGAGAUUUCAAUUUUGAGGUCUAGGUCGGCGGUGAAAUGCAAGAUCUGAUUUUUGCUUUAGGAAAGUUUACCAUUUUAGGGUUGUUUUGGACAUGUAGUGGUUUUUGUGAACCCACCUUGGCUCAGAGGCUACUUCGAACGUGGCUAGCAAGAGACAAGCAAUGGGAUGUAGAUUUAUACAAACUAGGGCAUCGGAGACUAGAAGAGUGGAUGGGCAUGAGUAGUUUGUCGAGCAUGGUUGGGAAAUGCAGUUUUGUGCAACGAAAUGGCCGCCAGAAAGCGAAACAAUAUUUGACUCGACAGAAUUAUUUCGUCUAGCAAGGAUUUUUUUUGUCUAUUCAUUUUUUUGUCUUGUUUAUGUGUGUUUACAUGAGUAGAAUGUAUUUUUCGGUCACAUGGGUACAUUUCUAUUGCAAAAUCUGUCUAUUAAUUUUUAUGUCAUGUUUAUAUACUAUUACAUGAGUUGAAUGUAUUUUUUGGUCA